rnacentral:tRNA from 1 species
GGCUCAAGCUCCGAAAAUAAAGUAUAAAGUUCCAAUAUCUUUAUGAUUAGUAGAGAAUAACCAUUG